AUGAUCUGGAUCCGCCAGAGGCCCGGGAACUCUCCGGAUUACAUUGCGUGUAUCACCUAUGAUGGCAGCACCUGGUACGAAUCGUCGGUCAAGGGCCGCUUCAGGAUCUCAAGGGACAACGGGCAGAGCUCGCGGGCGGCCGUGACCCUGCUGGAGUGCGGGGGGGACCUCCAGCCCCCCGGGGGGUCCCUGACUCUGCUCUGCCGCACCUCUGGGUUCGAUUUUGGGAGUUACACCAUGAUCUGGAUCCACCAGAGCCCUGGGAAGGCGCUGGAAUGGAUUGGGCAGAUCAGCAUCGGGGGCACCACCUGGUACGCGCCGUCAGUGCAGGGUCGGUUCUCGAUCUCCAGGGACAACGGGCAGAGCUCGGUGACGCUGACCAUGAACAACCUCAAGGACGAGGAUUCCGCCGUUUAUUUCUGUGCCAGAAAUGCUGGUGGUCAUUGGGUUGAAGUUGGCGGUGCUGCUGCUGGUUUUUAUCCCACCCCCAUCUUGGCAUUGCCACUGAUCCCCAAAUGUCACCAGACCCCAACCCUUGACCCCGACCUUGAGCACUGA